GUGUUUCCUCUGAAGUUAAUAGACGCAUUGAUGGGAGCUGAGCGUAGGAUCCUGAUGAACAAGGAACAGGAGCCAACUUCUCACAAGGAAGAAAACAAAAGGUCACCACGGUGAACCUGAAGGAUGCCUGGGACCCGCAGCCCUGCCUCCCUCCGCUCCCUUCCAUCCCCCCCUUCUCUCCUCCUGCUCCCUCCUCUCCCCUCCCACCCUCUGCUCCCUUCCUAGAACCCUGGACUGGUGUCCUUUAAAGGACAGCAGGAAAUUUCACGCCGAGUGCCAGGUGUCUGGUGACACGGGGUAUCCUCCCUGUCCAGAGCCACCUGGACAGGCAGAAGUUUAAAGGGAGAUACCAGGGAGCAAACGGAGGUGGCGCUUGCCCUCAUGAAGCUGCUAGUCCGGCAGGAGAGUCGGAAAAUAAAAUCAACACGUGAAUCCAACAUCAAAGAGUUUCAUAAGGACCAGGAAGAAACCGAGCAGCUUCCCGUGGCAGAGGAGGGCAGUGAGCCCCCUGAGCCCGCGCUUGGAGAAUGCCCUCCAGAGAGAACCUUCCGGCUGAGACGUGCAGGGUAAGAGAAGGCUCCAGGCUGGUGCUGGGACGGGGGUCAGCAGGGUAUUGCAGCCGCGGCAGAGGACAGAAGUCUGGGUUGGAUGUUAAGUGCAGAUCCAGAGGCUUUAAGCAGCAGGUGGCAUCUGAGUGCAUCGUUAAGGUCUCUCUGGCUGCCAUGUGUCGAGGAGAGGGGAGGUGAGUGUGAGAAGGUGGGUCCAGCCACCCCUUGGGGGCCCUGGCUUUCACCGGGCAGUCUGGGGGGGUGUUCACGUGGAGCGGGGUGAAGACUCGACUGCGUGCGACCCGGGAGCAGGGGAGCCACCGACCUG